rnacentral:rRNA from 1 species
GCCCACAUGAAGUCGGAGUUGCUAGUAAUCCCGAAUCAGAAUGUCGGGGUGAAUGCGUUCCCGGGUCUUGUACACACCGCCCGUCACGCCAUGGGAGUUGGGGGUAUCCAAAGUCGGUGAGCUAACCGCAAGGGGCAGCCGCCUAAGGUAAAACCAAUGACUGGGGUGAAGUCGUAACAAGGUAGC